GUGUGGCUUGAUGCUGAAUAUGUGUGUGGCUUGACUCUGUGUGAGACUGUGUGUGGCUUGAUGCUGAAUAUGUGUGUGGCUUGACUGUGUGUGUGUGUGAUUUUGUGAAAAUUGCAUUUGUUUGACGGUGUGGCUUGUAUGCUUUGCUGAAUAUUUGGUUGUAUAACUUGUGUUUUAUGUCACGACUGAUUGCUUUGUUGUUUGUUGAAUGUGAACAGACCUAGCACUAUAUUUUUUCUAAACUUUUUGUGAUAUCAUAUCCUUUUUUGUACUAUUGCUGUCCAGGCAAUUGAAUAAUGCUUUUCUCUAAGUAUUUAAGGUACAAACAUUUGGAUCCGGACAUGUCACAUGGGCUCUUUAUUGUGUUUUUAAGGACACUGAUGGGUUUUGUUUGCAUGCAACACAGAUGUGUUGUAUCCAUAACUACCUAUUGGCACCAGAUUUUUGUGCUCAAAAUGCAGUAUGGACCAACAAAAUGGUCUCAUUGCAAGGUCACUACCUGGACAUAUAGGCAAGCAAUGUCAAGAGAGGUGGCAUAAUCAUCUGAAUCCAGAAUACAGAGAGAUGGUUGGACUACUGAGGAACAUGCACGAAUUAAUACCCAUCGGGUAUAUGAGAAUAAAUGGGCAAAAAUAGCAGAAGUUGUUCCUAGAAGGCAUCUGAAUAUUGCAGGAAUGGGGUACUUCCAUUUAUGUAACUUCUAUUUGUUAUCAGUUCUUCUCACCUAUAGCUAAAGUCAAAGACGGUGAAUUAUUGGAUUUGCAAGAUACACAAAAUCAGUCAUCUUAAUCUUCUUUUGUAAAUAUGACUGAUGGUCCUGCUGAUAACGCUAUCCAUCGGCUUGUAAGUCAUGAGAGGCAACCACAGUUGCCAACUUGAAACAUAUAAUUUUUUAGGAAUGAAGAUCUGAAUCACCCUCACCCCUCGAGAGAAAUCAGUUUAGUCAUUCAGGUUCUAGAAUUUCUUUAUAGAUUUCUGAGUUUACUUCGGACUUGCAUGUAUUUGUGCCCCUAUCUAUGUCUGUUUCAUUUUGUUUCUUGUGUGCAAGCGCUCCAUUCUAUGUGUGUCUGACUGUGUGUGGCUUGACUCUCUUGUGUGUGUGGCUUGACUGUGUGUGUGACUGUUGCAUUUGACUGUGAUGUGUGACUGUU